CUAGGAAAAAGGGGGAGGAAAAAGCUGACUCGUUUUUGUAAUUUUAUUUCAGACGAUAGCAAUGGAACCCAGACAUGACUCCACCCCAGCUGUGGUCUACCAUGUUACUGCUACCAAUAACAGGAAAGAUAUCAAUGCACCUCAUCUUAAGACCUCUACAUCAAUAGGCAAGUUGGAACAAUCUUCCUUUUCGAAACAAUCUUUGUUCUUUGCCAGAGGGCUUGCGUAUAACAGUUAUCCUUAUCUUCAUAAUACAAUUAUUACUUUGGGUUUCAGCUCACAGAGUAUAAUCACAAGGGAUAACAGUUAUUAUAGUUGCAGAAUGCUUCAAAUUCAAUUUCUAAACUGUGCUUUAGUGUAGGCAAGUGCCAGAUUUGUCUGCAUUCUUUAAUCCAGAUUUUUUUUUAGCAGGCCUCGUGGCAGCUGCUAUGGAAUAAAUGAACUUUACAACAGGCUCUUUCUAUUGCAGACAUUACCAAUAUUUGCAACUGAUAGUUCAUUUAAACAAUGGCAGAGGGACAUUUCUAAGUUUAUAUGGCAAGGAAAAAAACCUAGAAUUAGAUACAACCUAUUGCAAGAUGCUAAUAAAAGAGUGGGUUUGGAUUUAGCCAAUUUGAAAUUGUAUUUUGAUACACGCUGUUUGGCUGGUUAAAAAAGUGGGUGAACCUUCAGAACAAGAGGCUAUUUGAUUUAGAGCAGUGGUUCCCAAACUUGGCAACUUUAAGACUUGUGGACUUCAACUCUGCUGGCUGGAGAAUUCUGGGAGUUGAAGUCCACAAGUCUUAAAGUUGCCAAGUUUGGGAACCACUGAUUUAGAGGGCCAUGAAUUAAGGUUUGAAUGGCAUGAUUGUCCAUGGUACAACACUAGAUGUACCAUACUAAGAGUUCGGAAUAAAUAUAAAAUAAGGUUUUCCAGUUGCCUCUUUGGGUGUCUGCUCAUGAAGCUUUUUUUUUUUUUUUUUUAACAACAACAAUGGUUAUGAAACCAGACUGGUGGACUAAUGGUAAAAAAGUAUCUUUCAACUCUGGUGUUCCUACCCUAAAGUUGAGUAAGAGCUAGAAUUAGGUUACGUUUGCCAUUGGUUUACAUAUCAACAACUGAAAGAUUUAAAUUAGAUUAAAAGAUUUGAUUUAGUUAAAAAUGAAUUGGAAAUCUUACUGUGUGGUAGUGAUGAACAUAUAAUAAGAUUUAUAAAAUAUUACUGAAAUUGAAUUGGAAAGUGAACAUGUAAAAACAUUGUAUGAUUCAGUGGGCAAGGAACUUUUGAUAGAAUGUAAACAAUCGGAAUAUAUAUGGACAAAAGGUUUAAAAUUCACGCUAAACUAUAAACUAAACUAUAAUUUAAAAGAAAAUUUUUUAUAAGAUGAUGUACUACUGGUAUCUAAUACCAGAUAAGUUAUGUGGACUGUAUAAAGGUAUUCCAAAUGAACGUUGGAAAUGUAAAAGUAAAGGCACCUUUUAUCAUCUAUGGUGGACAUGUGAUAGAGCAAAGACAUUUUGGAGUAAGAUUCAUAUUUUAAUACAGAAAAUUCUUAAAACUAAGAUAAAGGUGAAACUAGAAACUUUUAUUUUGGGUUCAAUCGGAAAAGACUUAGAAAAAAAUGGAACUUUGAAUUUAUAUAUGUUGACAGAAGUAGGACUACUGUAUGCAGAAGAAUGGAAGGACACUUCAAUUCCCACCAUGGACGAAUGGCUACAGAAGUUGAUGAAGUUGGCAGAGAUGGCUAAAAUGACUGUUUUGAUCAAAGAAAAGAAUAUAAGUAUUUUUGUUGCUACAUAGACUGUUUCUGGACUUUGUGCUUGAGGUGAA